rnacentral:rRNA from 1 species
GACGAACCGUGCGAACGUUGUUCGGAAUCACUGGGCUUAAAGGGUGCGUAGGCGGGCGAUCAAGUCAGGGGUGAAAUCCUCCAGCUUAACUGGAGAACUGCCUUUGAUACUGGUCAUCUUGAGUAAGGUAGGGGCGUGCGGAACUGAUGGUGGAGCGGUGAAAUGUGUUGAUAUCAUCAGGAACUCCGGUGGCGAAAGCGGCGCGCUGGACCUUAACUGACGCUGAGGCACGAAAGCUAGGGGAGAGAACGGG